rnacentral:rRNA from 1 species
AAAUUGAAGAGUUUGAUCAUGGCUCAGAUUGAACGCUGGCGGCAGGCCUAACACAUGCAAGUCGAACGGUAACAGGAAGCAGCUUGCUGCUUCGCUGACGAGUGGCGGACGGGUGAGUAAUGUCUGGGAAACUGCCUGAUGGAGGGGGAUAACUACUGGAAACGGUGGCUAAUACCGCAUAACGUCGCAAGACCAAAGAGGGGGACCUUCGGGCCUCUUGCCAUCAGAUGUGCCCAGAUGGGAUUAGCUUGUUGGUGAGGUAACGGCUCACCAAGGCGACGAUCCCUAGCUGGUCUGAGAGGAUGACCAGCCACACUGGAACUGAGACACGGUCCAGACUCCUACGGGAGGCAGCAGUGGGGAAUAUUGCACAAUGGGCGCAAGCCUGAUGCAGCCAUGCCGCGUGUAUGAAGAAGGCCUUCGGGUUGUAAAGUACUUUCAGCGGGGAGGAAGGUGUUGUGGUUAAUAACCACAGCAAUUGACGUUACCCGCAGAAGAAGCACCGGCUAACUCCGUGCCAGCAGCCGCGGUAAUACGGAGGGUGCAAGCGUUAAUC